UACAGAGGUCUCAAGCGUUGUUCGGAUUCAUUGGGCGUAAAGGGUGCGUAGGCGGCGCGGUAAGUCGGGUGUGAAAUCUUGGAGCUUAACUCCGAAACUGCAUUCGAUACUGCUCGGCUCGAAGACAGGAGAGGGAAGCGGAAUUCCCGGUGUAGUGGUGAAAUGCGUAGAUAUCACUUGGAACGCCAAUGGUGAAAACAGAUAGCUGGGGUUGUGCUGACACUGAGACACGAAAGCCAGGGGAGCAAACGGG
rnacentral:rRNA from 1 species